CCGGACGAACUUCCCAGAUCGGCCGACACAAAGUGGUCGGUGGGAUCUUCGUCCGUUU
rnacentral:pre_miRNA from 1 species